AAACUAACAAGGAUUUCCCUAGUAACGGCGAGUGAAGCGGAAUGAGCUCAAGCUUAAAAUCUCUAUGCAAGUUUUGCAUGGCGAAUUGUAGUCUAUAGAGGCGAUGUCAGUGCAGCUGUUUGGGACAAGUUCCUUGGAAGAGGACAGCAUUGAGGGUGAUACUCCCGUCUUUGCCUAAAUAGCUUGCGCGUACGACACGUUUUCUUUGAGUCGUGUUGUUUGGGAAUGCAGCACAAAGUAGGUGGUAAAUUCCAUCUAAAGCUAAAUAUUGGUGCGGGACCGAUAGCGAACAAGUACCGUGAGGGAAAGAUGAAAAGAACUUUGAAAAGAGAGUUAAAGAGUACCUGAAACUGUUGAAAGGGAACCGAAUCGUUUCCAGUGUCUUAAUCUGCGGCAUAUUUCAUUGGCGAGUAAAUGCGCUGGGCUGUUUAGAAGUAGUUUAUUCUGCGCUUUCGGUCUAUUCUGCGUUUGCUUGCUGGUGCCCUGUGCUGUGGUGUGACGUCAAAGUCAGUUUGUAUGCCGCGGGAAAUGGUUAUUGAGGAGGUAGGUCGAAUUCGUUUGGCUAUUAUAUCUUGGUAACUAGUCGUCGUGGUUGAGACUGAGGUGCCUACAACGUGCUUUAAAGUCUUAUGGGCAUUUAUCUGGUUACCUGUUUGGAAUGCUUGCAUUGCUGACGGACUAAUUGGGUGAUUGUGUCUGUGAGUAACUUUUGCCGUUCGGGACUUUGACGAAAUGGAGCGAUCCGUC
rnacentral:rRNA from 1 species